rnacentral:rRNA from 1 species
GACGAACGCUGGCGGCGUGCUUAACACAUGCAAGUCGAACGGAAAGGCCCUGCUUUUGUGGGGUGCUCGAGUGGCGAACGGGUGAGUAACACGUGAGUAACCUGCCCUUGACUUUGGGAUAACUUCAGGAAACUGGGGCUAAUACAGGAUAGGAGCUCCUGCUGCAUGGUGGGGGUUGGAAAGUUUCGGCGGUUGGGGGUGGACUCGCGGCUUAUCAGCUUGUUGGUGGGGUAGUGGCCUAGCAAGGGUUUGACUGGUAGCCGGCCUGGGAGGGUGACCGGCCACAUUGGGCCUGAGAUACGGCCCAGACUCCUACGGUAGGCAGCAGUGGGGAAUAUUGCACAAUGGGCGGAAGCCUGAUGCAGCAACGCCGCGUGCGGGAUGACGGCCUUCGGGUUGUAAACCGCUUUCGCCUGUGACGAAGCGUGAGUGACGGUAAUGGGUAAAUAAGCACCGGCUAACUACGUG